CUCUGUGCAAGUGCUUCCUGUCUCUUCCAGGGCUCUGGAGCGGAGCUUGGAGCUGGAGCACGGAGCAGCUCCGGAGCAGUGGAGCUCCAGGUUUUUGCCU